rnacentral:lncRNA from 1 species
GCGGGGCGGAGCGCGGAGCCCGCUCGGGGCUGCGGAUGCUCCGUCCGGCACCGCCGGUGGCAGCGGGGCGGGCGCCAGCCCGGCUCUGGGCGUCUGUAACGGGCAGCGCGACCGCGACGGAGCCGCCGGUACCGGCUCUUCAACGGCGGUACCGGCACCGGUACCGGCAGCGCUCCGGCCCUGCUAUCCCAGCACCGGCAUCAGUGCUUGGAUCCCGGCACCAGGACCGACCGGCCUCACUGACACCGGCACCGCCACUGACACCGGUACCGGCUCUUCUUCCCCGGCACAAGGUCCGGUGUCCCCGCCACCGGGACUACACCCCGUUAUCCUCCCCCGGCACUGGGACCACUCCGAUUCCCCGGCAUUGCUCGUCCUUCUCCUGCACCGGCACCGACCGGCCCUUCCCGGCUCCCCGGGCCCCCGCCUGCCGCAGAGAUCAGCAGCGCAAAUCCCUGCUCGGGGACUUCAUCCAAACCUCUCACCGGGGUGAGUCCCCGGGCUUGGGCUCUGCUGGAAGCGGCGCCUUCCUUGGUGCAAGAGGAAGAAAUCUUGGUGCUUUUUGGCCAAAACGCGGCUCUGGUUCCCUGCGGGGAUGUAUCCCCGCUCCCAAAUGCAGCCGGGCGUUGCGAGACCCCGGCGUGGGGCCGCUACCCUGUCGGAAUUAGGUCAGGCUUCGUUCAUCCCGGGCCGGCUGAGCUCCCGCCGCAGCCCCGGGAUUGAUGGCUCGGGGCAGGAGCCCGGGGAGGGGGAGGAUGGGGCUCCGCACGGCGGGGAACGGGAGCGGGGACGCGCAGCAUCACCGGCACCGCACGGAGGGAUGGAGGAGGGGGAUGCGCUGCUUUGAAAGCGCCUCCCGUAAGAUCCACCGAGAUCAGAGGAGCGGGAUGUCAGGGAAAGCUCCAAAUAGACUCCAAAUAGGGCCCCAGCGCUGUGGAUCUGCAGGCGCUGGAAGGAGCUGCAGCUGCCAGGAGCUCCCGGCAGCAUCAUCCAUCGGGGAACUGCUGCUCCCUGCAAUUCCUGCGGCGAGGCUGUGCCGGAGGGAACGGGAUGGAUGUGGGGAGUGGCUGGAUCCUGCCCCAUGGCUCAGAACCCCUGUGAGCUGCAGGGGCGACGCAGCUCAGGAAGACCAGUGGAAAUUGGGAAAUUGGCUGAGACACGGGAGUGAGGCAGAGCCCAGAGACAGGCAGGGCUCAUCUCCAGCCCUGGGAUGCACAGGGUGCUGGAGAGGCUUUGGGAGUGGCUCCUGGGGCUGGCAGGGUCUCAGGCAUUCCAAAGCAGC